rnacentral:rRNA from 1 species
UACGGGGGGGGCAAGCGUUGUUCGGAAUUACUGGGCGUAAAGGGCUUGUAGGUGGCCAACUAAGUCAGACGUGAAAUCCCCCGGCUUAACCGGGGAACUGCGUCUGAUACUGGAUGGCUAGAGAUUGGGAGAGGAACGCGGAAUUCCAGGUGUAGCGGUGAAAUGCGUAGAUAUCUGGAGGAACACCGGUGGCGAAGGCGGCGUCCUGGACCAACACUGACACUGAAAAGCGAAAGCCAGGGGAGCAAACGGG